UAAGUUAGGUUUUUUAGAAAAAGUUAGUUUUGGUAUAAGUUAUGUUUUUUCGAAAAAGUUAGUUUUGGUAUAAGUUAGGUUUUUGAGAAAAAGUUAUUUUUUUGAGAAAAAGUUAGUUGUGGUAUAAGUUAGGUUUUUAAGAAAAAGUUAGGUUUUUUCGAAAAAGUUAGUUUUGGUAUAAGUUAGGUUUUUGAGAAAAAGUUAGUUUUGGUAUAAGUUAGGUUUUUUCGAAAAAGUUAGUUUUGGUA